rnacentral:rRNA from 1 species
CCUACGGGUGGCAGCAGUGAGGAAUAUUGGUCAAUGGUCGGGAGACUGCACCAGCCAAGCCGCGUGAGGGAUGAAGGUACAGAGUAUCGUAAACCUCUUUUGUCAGGGAACAAGGGCGGGGACGUGUCCCAGGAUGAGUGUAUCUGAAGCAAAAGCAUCGGCUAACUCCGUGCCAGCAGCCGCGGUAAUAGGGAGGAUGCGAGGGUUAUCCGGAUUUAUGGGGUUUAAAGGGUGCGCUGGCGGUCUGUUACGUCAGAGGUCAAAGCCCGGGGCGAAACCCCGGCCCGCAGUUGAAACUGGCAGUCUCGAGUUGGAGAGAGGUAUGCGGAAUGCGCGGUGUAGCGGUGAAAUGCAUAGAUAUCGCGCAGAACUCCGAUUGCGAAGGCAGCAUGCCGGCUCCACACUGACGCUGAGGCACGAAAGCGUGGGUAUCGAACAGGAUUAGAUACCCUGGUAGUC